ACGCGAAGCUCCCUUCGGGGAGCAAGUAGAGUGGCGCACGGGUGAGUAACACGUAGGUAAUCUACCUUUGGAUGGGGAAUAACCACCGGAAACGGUGGCUAAUUCCGCAUAAUGCAGCGGCACCUAAUGGUGACAGUUGUUAAAGCGGGGGAUCGCAAGACCUCGCGUCUGAAGAGGAGCCUGCGGCAGAUUAGCUAGUUGGUAAGGUAAAGGCUUACCAAGGCGAUGAUCUGUAGCCGGCCUGAGAGGGCGGUCGGCCACACUGACACUGACAUACGGGUCAGACUCCUACGGGAGGCAGCAGUCGGGAAUUUUGGGCAAUGGGCGAAAGCCUGACCCAGCAACGCCGCGUGAAGGAUGAAAUCCCUCGGGAUGUAAACUUCGCAAGAACGGGAAGAAUAAGUAAGAGUUAAUAUCUCUUAUGAUGACGGUACUGUUUGUAAGCUCCGGCUAACUCCGUGCCAGCAGCCGCGGUAAUACGGGGGGAGCAAGCGUUG
rnacentral:rRNA from 1 species